rnacentral:misc_RNA from 1 species
GAACUGCGAUAAGUAAUGCGAAUUGCAGAAUUCAGUGAAUCAUCGAGUCUUUGAACGCACAUUGCGCCCCCUGGCAUUCCGGGGGGCAUGCCUGUCCGAGCGUCAUUGCUGCCCUCAAGCCCGGCUUGUGUGUUGGGUCGUCGUCCCCCCCGGGGGACGGGCCCGAAAGGCAGCGGCGGCACCGUGUCCGGUCCUCGAGCGUAUGGGGCUUUGUCACCCGCUCGAUUAGGGCCGGCCGGGCGCCAGCCGGCGUCUCCAACCUUAUUUUUCUCAGGUUGACCUCGGAUCAGGUAGGGAUACCCGCUGAACUUAAGC